rnacentral:rRNA from 1 species
GACGAACGCUGGCGGCGUGCUUAACACAUGCAAGUCGAACGGAAAGGCCCUGCUUUUGUGGGGUGCUCGAGUGGCGAACGGGUGAGUAACACGUGAGUAACCUGCCCUUGACUUUGGGAUAACUUCAGGAAACUGGGGCUAAUACCGGAUAGGAGCUCCUGCUGCAUGGUGGGUGUUGGAAAGUUUCGGCGGUUGGGGAUGGACUCGCGGCUUAUCAGCUUGUUGGUGGGGUAGUGGCUACCAAGGCUUUGACGGUUAGCCGGCCUGAGAGGGUGACCGGCCAAAUUGGGACGGAGAUACGGCCCAGACUCCUACGGGAGGCAGCAGGGGGGAAUAUUGAACAAUGGGCGGAAGCCUGAGGCAGCAACGCCGCGUGCGGGAUGACGGCCUUCGGGUGGUAAACCGCUUUCGCCUGUGACGAAGCGUGAGUGACGGUAAUGGGUAAAGAAGCACCGGCUAACUACGUG